GAAAAAAACAAUAAACACCACAGCUCUUUCCAGCUAGAAUAUUAGGCACCACGAGAAAAAUAUUUGCCAAGCAGUUUUCGCUCUGCCUGGAACUCCUUAUGGGACAUUGAGCAAAGCCACUUGUGAAGAUUGCGUUCCCUCAUCGGUGUGAAGGAGUAACCCCGAGGAUGGGCAGGCUGCCUGACUGCUCUAUACCUUUACAUAUAUAUACACAUUUACUUAACUUGCAGGUGGGGGAGAUGGAAAGGAGCUGUGUGUGUGUAUGUGUGCCUGGGCUGAGGGAAGGGGUUAAAAUGUAAACUUAUAGGUAAAGAAGGCAGUCGGGAAUCCUCACCUCUAUCAAUUUUUAACCAAUUGUAGACCAAAGUCUGGGAUUAUGCUGAGUGGGUCCAAAAGCCAAUUGAAGAUUUUAAAUGUUAAGAGUUGCUGGAGGAGGCAGGUUCUAAGACCUUGUACUUUUGAUCUCCAGCAUCGAUCAUAAGACUUGACAGUUCCUGAGUGUCUUUUAUGCCCUAUAGUUUUUUGGGGUUUUUUUUCUGUUUGGUUUUGGAAGAGGUCCCAGUCAAUGAUAGGAAGGAGAUGAUCUUUGUACACUGGGUAGUCUUUAAACCACUGGGCUGCAUGUGGGUGUGAAAAAUGUGUCAUAACAUUCACAUCCACACAUGCACACACACACACACACACACACA